UGGGCUCGCGGCCUAUCAGCUUGUUGGUGAGGUAAAAGCUCACCAAGGCUAAGACGGGUAGCUGGUCUGAGAGGAUGAUCAGCCACACCGGGACUGAGACACGGCCCGGACACCUACGGGUGGCAGCAGUUUCGAAUCAUUCACAAUGGGCGAAAGCCUGAUGAUGCAAUGCCGCGUGGAGGAUGAAGGCCUUAGGGUCGUAAACUCCUGUCAUUAGGGAACAACAAAUAGGUUUAUAGCCUAUUCUGAGUUAACCUAAAGAGGAAGAGGUGGCUAACUCCGUGCCAGCAGCCGCGGUAAUACGGAGACCUCGAGCGUUACUCGGAUUUACUGGGCGUAAAGGGUGAGCAGGCGGCCAAGUGUGUCAGGUGUGAAAUCCCGGGGCUUAACCCCGGAACUGCGCCUGAAACUACUUGGCUAGAGUCUCGGAGAGGACAGUGGAAUUCUAGGUGUAGCGGUGAA
rnacentral:rRNA from 1 species